UACGGGGGGGGCAAGCGUUGUUCGGAAUUACUGGGCGUAAAGGGCUCGUAGGCGGCCAACUAAGUCAUACGUGAAAUCCCUCGGCUUAACCGGGGAACUGCGUCUGAUACUGGAUGGCUUGAGUUCGGGAGAGGGAUGCGGAAUUCCAGGUGUAGCGGUGAAAUGCGUAGAUAUCAGGAGGAACACCCAUGGCGAAGGCAGCAAACUGGGCAUCAUCUGACGCUGAGGCGCGAAAGCGUGGGUAGCAAACAGG
rnacentral:rRNA from 1 species